ACAGUAGCUAACACAGCUUUUAAAUUGAAUCUCCUUGUCUUAUUAAAAAAAAAAAAAAAAAGAAAAAAAAAGAAAAAGACAUGCAUUCUAAGCAAGAUGAGGUAUCUGAUUCCAAGGAAGAAAACUAUGCACGGCAGGUUGAAGCUACAGGGGCAGUCCUGACUGGUUUUUCUCCAUCCAGCUACUUUACUUACGGCCCUUUGAAACCGGCAGUUCCUGUGGAUCAGGACUUAAAGUGAUCAUGUAUCAAAAGUGUAAUCUGUAAGAGCAACAUGAACUGGUGAAAUGUACCUCUGAUGCUGGUUUCCUAUGUUAUUUUGUAGAAUGUUUGUAAUUAUCUUGCUGAGUCGUAAUCCCUGACAUUUGCUUUCACAAAGCAUCUAGUGGAGAAUGCAAUACCCUAAUUAUGUUUCUGUGAAAGAGUUGAGGGGAAAAAAAAGUUGUGCUCUUUAGCACAGCAUUUUAAAGAAAAGCUGUUUCAUGAAUAGUAUAUAUAUCAAAUUUUGCGAAGGCUAGGGAUACUUUACCAACUGCAGUUCCUGGUUGUUUUAUAUCUCAGUAUAUCAACACAGUUGAACAUAUGUUAAUCGUAAGUUCUUUUCUAAACUGCGUGCUGUACUUGCCUACAUCCUAAGCAAAACAGGCACUGGCUCCAGCCUAAGUACUUUUAUAUAUUUAUGUUUGCUAUCUUAUGUUUUUAAGUAUUUUCUGAGAUAGAUAAGUAUUUUCUGAGAUAGUUACCACAUUUUAAAUAAAUAUCUUUUGUUUAAAAAAAAUAGGUGCUUU
rnacentral:lncRNA from 1 species